CAAUAGCGUAUACUAACGUUGUUGCAGUUAAAAGCUCGUAGUUGGAUUUCUGUGUGGGUGAGGCGGCCGGCCACUCGUGGUUGUAGCUAGUUAUCACCUGUACAUCUUGUCACAAGCCACGCUGGUCUUAAUUGAUUGGCGCUGGGGACUGACUCGUUUACUUUGAAAAAUUAGAGUGUUUAAAGCAGGCUUAUGCCGUUGAAUAUAUUAGCAUGGAAUAAUAAGAUAGGACUUUGGAACUAUUUUGUUGGUUUGCGUUACAAAGUAAUGAUUAAUAGGGACAGUUGGGGGUAUUCGUAUUUCGUUGUCAGAGGUGAAAUUCUUGGAUUUCCGAAAGACGAACUACUGCGAAAGCAUUUACCAAGGAUGUUUUCAUUAAUCAAGAACGAAAGUUAGGGGAUCGAAGAUGAUCAGAUACCAU
rnacentral:rRNA from 1 species